UUGUAAAAAUAUUUCAAUUUUAUAGAAUUUACCUUUUGCAUAAUGGUUUAAUUAACUUUUAAAAGAUUUUAUUUCUCGAAAUAAAAAGAUCUAAUAAAAAUAAAAAAAUAUGUUUAAAAAUAUUAAUUUUUAAUUUUUAUUAGGUGUGAAAGGCUAAUCAAUUUUUAUGAUAUCUGGAUAGAUUAAAAAUGUAUUUAGUACAGGCAAAAAGCUGAAGAGCUCCCUGUUAAGGGGUGGCUUAAAAAGAAUAAUUCUUUAUAAAUAUUAUUAUUUAGGAUAAUUCUAUAAUAAUUACUUAUAAAACCAGAUUACAGUUAAUUUGUUUCUUUAAAGUUUUUUCUAGAAAGUUUAAAUUUCUCGAAUUUUUUUAUAAUGUUAAAAUUAGUAUUAAUUUUUAAUUUAAAUAUAGGAACUCGGCAAAUAUUUACUCAACUGUUUAUCAAAAACAUAGUUUUAUGAAGUUUUAUAAAAUGAAUUCUGCCCAAUGAUAAUUUUUUAAUGGCCGCAGUACUUUAACUGUGCUAAGGUAGCAUAAUAAUUUGGCUUUUAAUUAAGGUCUGGUAUGAAAGGAUUUUAUGGGUAAUAGCUGUCUUUAUUUAACUUCUAAAAAUUUUCUUAAAAGGUGAAAAUUCCUUUAAUUUUAAAAUAGACGAGAAGACCCUAGGAGUUUUCGUUUUGUUGGGGCGACAUUUUAGUACAUAACCUAAAGGAUUUAUAUAACGGUUGUAUCAAUUAAAAAUAAACUACCCUAGGGAUAACAGCAUAAUUAUAUUUAUUGUUUGUGACCUCGAUGUUGGACUAGG
rnacentral:rRNA from 1 species